rnacentral:ncRNA from 1 species
AAAAAGUUUUAUUUUGGCUUAUAAUUUAUUUUAUUAUUAUUUUAUAUGUAAAUUUUUGUGUGAAUUUUUUUAAAUUUUAAAAGUUUAUUAAAUAAUUUAUUCGCAGUAUUUAAUUUUAUAAAUAAAAGAAAUUUUGAUUUAGUAAUUAAUUAUAUUAUAGGAUAAUUUUGUGCCAGCAUCUGCGGUUAUACAAAAUAUAAAAAUAAAUUUUAUUAGUAAAUAGUUAAUAGUAUUUAAUUUAAAUAUAAAUAUAUUAUUUAAGUUAAAUUUUUAAAUAUAUUUUAUUUAUUUAUUUAAAUUUAUGAAGCUAUAAAAUUUUAAAUUUAAACUAGGAUUAGAUACCCUAUUAUUUAAAAUGUAAUUAAAUUAUUAAGGUAGUAAAAGUUAUGUUCUUGAAACUUAAAAAAUUUGGCGGUGUUUUAAUCUAUUUAGAGGAACCUGUUUCGUAAUUGAUAAUCCACGAUAAAUUUUACUAAAUUUUGUUAAAUUUAUAUAUCGUCGUUAUAAGAAUGUCUUAUAAGAGUUUAAUUUUCUAAAAAUAAAAUUAUAUUUUAUUUCAGAUCAAGGUGUAGUUUAUAAUUUAGAGAUAAUGGGUUACAAUAAAUUAAUUUAAAUGGAGUAAAAAUUGAAAUAUUUUUAUGAAGGUGGAUUUAAUAGUAAUAUAAAUUAUAUUAUUUAUAUGAUUUUAGCAAUAAAACAUGUACAUAUCGCCCGUCGCUCUUUCUUUUAAAGAAAGAUAAGUCGUAACAAAGUAGAUGUACUGGAAAGUGUAUCUAGAAUGAC